rnacentral:misc_RNA from 1 species
AAGCAAGGUGAGACCAUCUCAAAGGGGCAUAAGAACUAUGACCUUAUGCUCAAUCUCCAGCUAGGGAUCAGGCAUGCUGUAGGAAAACUAGCUCAAACCCCUGUUACAUCACUUGAUCUGAGAGCAUCAGCCUUUGACCCCAAAGAAAAAGUGUGGACAAAAUUCCCCCCAGAAGGAACAAAACAAACACCCCCCCACCAAUCAU